AACGAACGCUGGCGGCAUGCCUAACACAUGCAAGUCGAACGAGACCUUCGGGUCUAGUGGCGCACGGGUGCGUAACGCGUGGGAACCUGCCCUUAGGUUCGGAAUAACUCCCCGAAAGGGGUGCUAAUACCGGAUAAUGUCUUCGGACCAAAGAUUUAUCGCCUUUGGAUGGGCCCGCGUUAGAUUAGCUAGUUGGUAGGGUAAAAGCCUACCAAGGCGACGAUCCAUAGCUGGUCUGAGAGGAUGAUCAGCCACACUGGGACUGAGACACGGCCCAGACUCCUACGGGAGGCAGCAGUGGGGAAUAUUGGGCAAUGGGCGAAAGCCUGAUCCAGCAAUGCCGCGUGAGUGAUGAAGGCCUUAGGGUUGUAAAGCUCUUUUACCCGGGAUGAUAAUGACAGUACCGGGAGAAUAAGCGCCGGCUAACUCCGUG
rnacentral:rRNA from 1 species